rnacentral:tRNA from 1 species
GCCGGGGUAGCUCAGCUGGUUAGAUGGGCUAGAACAGACUAAAGCGCUGGACUCAUAAUCCAGAGGUCGAGGGUUCAAAACCCUCCCCCGGCACCA